GAUUAACAUUAAAACAUGAGCGAAAGCUCGACUUAGUUAUGAUAAAAAUGGUUGGUAAAUUUCGUGCCAGCCACCGCGGUUACACGAAAAACCAAAAAUAAUAGCCCCCGGCGUAAAAAGUGACCUAAGCCCAGCCAACAAAUUAAAGGAAAACCACCACAAAGUUGUAAAACACUUGCUCGUGGGACCCCCAACAACAAAAUGACUUUAAACCAAAGGCCCCUUACCCUCACGAAAGCUAAGAAACAAACUAGGAUUAGAUACCCUACUAUGCUUAGCCGUAAACAUAGGCAGUAUAAACACAAUACUGUCCGCCAGAGAACUACAAGUGAAAAACUAGAAACUCCAAGGACUUGGCGGUGCCCCAUAUCAACCUAGAGGAGCCUGUCCUAUAAUCGAUAAUCCACGCUGCACCUUACCAUUUCUAGCAAUUCAGCCUAUAUACCGCCGUCGGAAGCUUACCUCAUGAGAGAGACGAAGUAAGCAAAAUAGUUAAUAACUAAAACGUCAGGUCAAGGUGUAGCACAUGAAAUGGCAGAGAUGGGCUACAUUUUCUAUCCUAGAAAACACGAACAGCACAAUGAAACCUGUCCUCAAAGGCGGAUUUAGCAGUAAGGUAAAAAAGAAACUAUACCUUAAACCCGCUCUGGAGCGCG
rnacentral:rRNA from 1 species